rnacentral:lncRNA from 1 species
UGUUAAUUAAUUGCUUAUGAUUUAUACAUGCUAUGAGAUAGCUAUGAUGCAUAAUAGCUUAUUUUAGAUAUGUUAAAUAUAUAUUACAAUUAAAGAAUGUGCUAGAGACUAGUAAGCCCUCAAUAAAAAUUAUAUUAAGUCAUAGUGUUGAAAAACUUUGAGCUAACCCAUUCUAGAACAAUUAAUCUAAUUGGUGUCUAAGGAAAGCACUAAAGGUGGUUACUUAAUUAGGACCUUACUCUCUGAGUAAGGGGAGCCUCCCACCUGCUUACCUGGCCAAUUGUUUGAUUGCCUAUUAUGGAUAGCUUAAUAUUGAUAUAACACUAUUG